UGGGGAAUAUUGGACAAUGGGCGAAAGCCUGAUCCAGCAAUUCCGCGUGUGUGAAGAAGGCCUUCGGGUUGUAAAGCACUUUAGUGGGGGAAGAAACAGCUUGGCCACACCAAGCCUUGACGGUACCCCAAGAAUAAGCACCGGCUAACUCUGUGCCAGCAGCCGCGGUAAUACAGAGGGUGCAAGCGUUAAUCGGAUUUACUGGGCGUAAAGGGUGCGUAGGUGGUUUUUUAAGUCGGAUGUGAAAGCCUGGGGCUCAACCUCAGAAUUGCAUUCGAUACUGGGAAACUAGAGUUCGGUAGAGGGCGGCGGAAUUUCCGGUGUAGCGGUGAAAUGCGUAGAUAUCGGAAGGAACAUCAAUGGCGAAGGCAGCCGCCUGGGCCUGGACUGACACUGAGGCACGAAAGCGUGGGGAGCAAACA
rnacentral:rRNA from 1 species